rnacentral:rRNA from 1 species
CCUACGGGAGGCAGCAGUGGGGAAUUUUCCGCAAUGGGCGAAAGCCUGACGGAGCAAUACCGCGUGAGGGAGGAAGGCUCUUGGGUUGUAAACCUCUUUUCUCAGGGAAGAAGCUUUGACGGUACCUGAGGAAUCAGCAUCGGCUAACUCCGUGCCAGCAGCCGCGGUAAUACGGAGGAUGCAAGCGUUAUCCGGAAUGAUUGGGCGUAAAGCGUCCGCAGGUGGCGAUUCAAGUCUGCUGUCAAAGGUCGGGGCUCAACCCUGAACAGGCGGUGGAAACUGAACAGCUAGAGUGCGGUAGGGGUAGAGGGAAUUCCCGGUGUAGCGGUGAAAUGCGUAGAGAUCGGGAAGAACACCAGUGGCGAAAGCGCUCUACUAGGCCUGCACUGACACUCAGGGACGAAAGCUAGGGGAGCGAAUGGGAUUAGAUACCCCAGUAGUCCUAGCCGUAAACGAUGGAUAUUAGGCGUGG